AUUCCAGCUCCAAUAGCGUAUAUUAAUGUUGUUGCAGUUAAAAAGCUCGUAGUUGGAUUUCUGGUGGGGUUGUCGGCCUGGCUCCGAAAGGGGUCGUGGCUUGUACACACCUUGCCAUCCUCGGGGGUAGCUUUGCUGGCAUUAAGUUGUCGGCGGAGUGACGCUCGUCGUUUACUGUGAACAAAUUAGAGUGUUCAAAGCAGGCUUAGGCCGUUGAAUACAUUAGCAUGGAAUAAUGAGAUAGGACUUUGGUGGUCUAUUUUGUUGGUUUGCACGCCGAAGUAAUGAUUAAUAGGGGCGGUUGGGGGUAUUCGUAUUCAAUUGUCAGAGGUGAAAUUCUUGGAUUUAUGGAAGACGAACUACUGCGAAAGCAUUUACCAAGGAUGUUUUCAUUG
rnacentral:rRNA from 1 species